GACGAACGCUGGCGGCGCGCCUAACACAUGCAAGUCGAACGGUGACGAAGGAGCUUGCUCCUUCUGAUCAGUGGCGGACGGGUGAGUAACACGCGAGCAACCUGGCUCUAAGAGGGGGACAACAGUUGGAAACGACUGCUAACACCGCAUAACAUAUUCUGAAGGCAUCUUUAGAAUAUCAAAGAUUUUAUCGCCUAGAGAUGGGCUCGCGUCUGAUUAGAUAGUUGGUGAGGUAAAGGCUCACCAAGCCGACGAUCUUUAGCUGGUCUGAGAGGAUGAUCAGCCACACUGGGACUGAGACACGGCCCAG
rnacentral:rRNA from 1 species